rnacentral:tRNA from 1 species
GAGGGUAGAGCUCAGUGAUAGAGUGCAUGCUCAGCAUGCAGCAGAUCCUGGGUUCAAUCCCCAGUUCCUCCA